AUUUAUGCAUGCAGUUCAGGCGCUCGAAAUUGAGCUUAAUAGGGAACCCUGUGCAAGUCAGGGAUGGGCCCGCCGCUGUAAUCGGGGACGAAUGCUGCACCUUGUCACUGGCCGAAAGGCUGGGAAGACGCAGUCGUAGGAUGAUCCGAAAGUCAGAAGACCUGCCUGGGCAUAUGGGAAAACG
rnacentral:ncRNA from 1 species